rnacentral:lncRNA from 1 species
AUCGAAGUGGCAAGGGCAAAAUGGGAAUUUAAUAAUAUUAAACAAAGGGUGAAUAGUGUUUUGAUGUGAUUUAAUUAGGGGGUUUGCUGUGGCUUUUGGAUGGAAACCGAGAGAGAGUCACAGAGGGAGUCUCAGACGGACAGAGAGGAAGAAAAAGAAGGAGAGGAAAGGAAAGGAAGAAAGGAAGAGGAAAGGAAAGGAAGAAAGGAAGAGGAAGGAGAUCCCGGUGGCGCUGCCAGCUGAAGGGAAAAGUGUAGAUCUCCUUCCCCUCUACGCAAGGACCUCGAUUUUCAAAAAGAAAAAGGUAAAUAUCCGUCCCUAUCUAGUCUUUUGAUGACAUUAGGCUAUACAAAGGGUGGAUAUAAUUUAGAGGGGUCGGAUAAGAGUUGUAGAGGCGGUUAAAAGAGGAAGAAUCGGAUUUUGACAAAUUUUUCCGGCACUACGGAAAAACUGUGUCGAAGUCCCAACUUCGGCAAAUUAUUUAGGGGGUCAAACG